rnacentral:lncRNA from 10 species
UGUUACUCAGGGCCAGAUAACUACAUACUUGAAGACAUCUUUAGAGGAUGUACUAAAGGUAAAAAGGGACAUUUUAAGUAAUUAGAGGAAGUAAUGAACCUCAAAUCAGCCUUUCUGUAUGCUACAUAUAUUUUAGUUAAUGCUUCAGUCAGAUGGAAAAUUUGUUUUUUGCUUCUAGAUGUCCUGUGUUGAAGGUUAUUUUUAAAAUUCUAGGUUUUGUUGACUAUCUUCUGAUUGUAGAUGUUUAAUCUUAUCCUUUUCUCUACUUGCUUGCCCUUUUUUCUAACCUAUCUUUUCUUUCCUUUUCUCCUCUCUUCCCUGAUGUCCAUACAUCCCCCAACUAACCAACCUUACAGGUCCAUUCGGAUGAUGAAGUGUUUGAAAGAGGAUUGAAUGCUCUAGUUCAGCUAAGUGUCGUUGUUGGUCCUUCUCUAAACGACCAUCUGAAGCAUCUGCUUACAAGCGGGAGCCUUAGCAUCAUCAAAUCUAAAAUUCCAACAUACUGCUCCAUAUGCUGUUGAAGAAGGGAGCCAACAAAAAUUGUUUUUUCUACCUGUUGACGUGUCAAGCACUAACU